rnacentral:lncRNA from 1 species
CAAGACAGACUAGUAACUUGCUGCUCCAAGCCAUUGCUUUUAGAAGUGCAAACAGUUCGAUUUCAGAUGGAUUUCAGUUUUCUCACCUAACUUCCUGAAAAGCCAAUAGACCCAGUUGCUGAAGAAUUGGAAGGACUAAAAAUCUGUUUUUCAAAAAAAGUUACCAUUGUGGAAAAUGUCUACAGAGGCAGCUGUUCUAUCCACAGAGAGGAACGUCAAAAGUUGCACAGAAUUUCCACUACUUCUGAAAACUUCUAGUAUUGUUUGUCAAAUCAGAGAAUAUUCUUUCAUGGCAACUAUUAGCUGGAGCUGGACACUGCUACUCCUUAAGAGGCAACCUGUUCCACCCAGAAAAGAAGUUACUUAUGAAUGA